CCUACGGGUGGCAGCAGUGGGGAAUAUUGGACAAUGGGCGCAAGCCUGAUCCAGCCAUGCCGCGUGAGUGAUGAAGGCCCUAGGGUUGUAAAGCUCUUUCGCCAGGGACGAUAAUGACGGUACCUGGAUAAGAAGCCCCGGCUAACUUCGUGCCAGCAGCCGCGGUAAUACGAAGGGGGCUAGCGGUGUUCGGAAUCACUGGGCGUAAAGCGCACGUAGGCGGAUUUUUAAGUCAGGGGUGAAAUCCCGAGGCUCAACCUCGGAACUGCCUUGGAUACGGGGAGUCGAGAGUCCGGGAGAGGUGAGUGGAACUGCGAGUGUAGAGGUGAAAUUCGGAGAUAUUAGCAAGAACACCAGUGGCGAAGGCGGCUCACUGGCCCGGAACUGACGCUGAGGUGCGAAAGCGUGGGGAGCAAACAGGAUUAGAUACCCCUGUAGUA
rnacentral:rRNA from 1 species